rnacentral:rRNA from 1 species
UACGAAGGGGGCUAGCGUUGCUCGGAAUCACUGGGCGUAAAGGGUGCGUAGGCGGGUCUUUAAGUCAGGGGUGAAAUCCUGGAGCUCAACUCCAGAACUGCCUUUGAUACUGGUGAGCUUGAGUCCGGAAGAGGUGAGUGGAACUGCGAGUGUAGAGGUGAAAUUCGUAGAUAUUCGCAAGAACACCAGUGGCGAAGGCGGCUCACUGGUCCGGUACUGGCGCUGAGGUGCGAAAGCGUGGGGAGCAAACAGG